GCAGUCGAACGCUGAAGCACCAGCUUGCUGGUGUGGAUGAGUGGCGAACGGGUGAGUAAUACGUGAGUAACCUGCCCUUGACUCUGGGAUAAGCCCGGGAAACUGGGUCUAAUACUGGAUGCUACAUGUCACCGCAUGGUGGUGUGUGGAAAGGGUUUACUGGUCUUGGAUGGGCUCACGGCCUAUCAGCUUGUUGGUGAGGUAAUGGCUCACCAAGGCGACGACGGGUAGCCGGCCUGAGAGGGUGACCGGCCACACUGGGACUGAGACACGGCCCAGACUCCUACGGGAGGCAGCAGUGGGGAAUAUUGCACAAUGGGCGAAAGCCUGAUGCAGCGACGCCGCGUGAGGGAUGACGGCCUUCGGGUUGUAAACCUCUUUCAGCAGGGAAGAAGCCACAAGUGACGGUACCUGCAGAAGAAGCGCCGGCUAACUACGUGCCAGCAGCCGCGGUAAUACGUAGGGCGCAAGCGUUGUCCGGAAUUAUUGGGCGUAAAGAGCUCGUAGGCGGUUUGUCGCGUCUGCUGUGA
rnacentral:rRNA from 1 species